rnacentral:tmRNA from 1 species
GGGGGCGACUUGGCUUCGACGGGGGUCGCGAAACCUGAGGUGCAUGUCGAGGGUAGUAGAUAACCUCGUAAAAAUUUCUACUAUUUAAAGUAUUCGCAAACGACGAAAACUACUCUUUAGCAGCGUAAGCUGCUGAACUCUCGGCAGUUACUUGCUUGUGAGGGCUGAGUUUACUUAAGCUUGCUUCGGCGAGGGGCGGUAGACACCCGAGAGUCAUUUAUCACAAGAUCGGCAUUUUCUGAUUGUCUGGUUCGGAAUCGCCUAAAACUUCACAGAAUCGCUGAAUGCGCGCCCUGCCGGUCGGGUUGCAAACAGUUAAACUUAAAGAUUUGGCUAAACAUGUAGAGCUGAUGGCAGAGGGCUUGCGGACGCGGGUUCGAUCAAAGGUUUAAAAAGGUUGCC